UACAGAGGGUGCGAGCGUUAAUCGGAAUUACUGGGCGUAAAGCGUGCGUAGACGGUUAUGUAAGUUAGGUGUGAAAGCCCCGGGCUCAACCUGGGAAUUGCAUUUAAGACUGCAUAGCUAGGGUGCGGAAGAGGGAAGCGGAAUUUCCGGUGUAGCGGUGAAGUGCGUAGAUAUCGGAAGGAACAUCAGUGGCGAAAGCGGCUUCCUGGUCCAGCACCGACGUUCAGGCACGAAAGCGUGGGGAGCAAACAGG
rnacentral:rRNA from 1 species